rnacentral:snRNA from 1 species
AUACUUACCUGACGCGAGAGGCACCUUGAUCAACUAGGAGGUCCUCUCAGGAUGAGGCCCUUUCAUUGCACUUCGACUGGGUUGACUCCUGCGAUUACCCCUAAUGUGGGUAACUCGAGUGUAUAAUUUCUGGUAGUGGGGACCUGCAUUCGCGCUCGUCCCCU